CUGUCGUUGAUUGCUUCUCCCGCGCAUUUGCAGAGGUUUUUUUUUUUUCAACCUCAAUUUGAUGGUUGCCAGCUGACCUACCCGUGGGGUUAUCCAGGGCCUGUGCGCGUUUUAAAGGCUUUAGGAGAGCAGUCGGCGCUGGCCCUGGGACUCCUCUACCUCGGCAAAAGUGGUCACUGACCCUGUACGGUAAACAACUUGCACCCCGUCAGAGGGUAUUUUUCUACCUGUUUAACUCAGGAUAGGCGGAUAAAAGAAAGUGAGCUAAAGCUGCUGGUCUCCAGCUGGGCAUCUGUGAGCUAGAUAUUGCAUUUCUCAGUCCUGAUAGAACUAAAUUGGUUAUAUGUCUAAGUUUUUACCAUGGCUGGACCUUGACCAGCUUCAACCCUGCAGGUGAGGGCAGUACUCUGAGGGGAUGUCUGAAAAACAAGAUGGGGGGCGGCCCGGUGGCUCAGGCGGUUGGAGCUCCGUGCUCCUAACUCCGAAGGCUGCCGGUUCGAUUCCCACAUGGGCCAGUGGGCUCUCAACCACAAGGUUGCCAGUUCAAUUCCUCG